GUGAAAUAUUAUAAUAGUGUAUAAUACUUUAACACCAGCCCAAAAAAUUAUUUUGUAUAAUUAAAAUGCACUUAUGUGUAGACACACACAGAUUAUACCAAAUAAUUAUGCACAGCUGAAAAGAGUCACUGAGCCGAGCUGCCCACAGAAUGCUCUUCUGUCCUGCCAAGGCCCAGCUGCAGCCUUCACCUCUCCUGUAGCCCAAAUAGCUAAAUGGCUCUUUGCAUGGUCAUUUAUGAGUCACUUCUAUACUGUAAAACAAACAUCAACUGCCUCUGCCUCAUAAAGAGACAGGUGUUCCAAUCAGCUGUGUUCAAUCUGGUGAUGCCUGGGCUGAUUGGAUGAUAAUGGGAAGGAAUAGAAAUAUAAGAAGGGGUGGAUCUAUGGAGACAAUAGAGACUUAUUUUUCCCACCAGGGCUACUCUUCCUCCUGGUUGCUCAGAUUCGUUUGAUUUUUGUUUGAUAUAUUUUCAAGUGAACUCAGGACUUUGUUGUUUUCUUGAGCAGAAAGAUACUGAAGUUGUUUAAAACCAUUGAUUAUUUUUAUUGAUAGUGUUAACUAUGUGUUUUUUAUGUUUUUUAAGGAAAUGUAGGAGGAGGGUGCCAUUUUUGUUUGUACUUCUUUUGUCCUGUUUAUGGACAGACCGGAAGAGAGGAGGCUGGGUUGCCCUGGUUCCCUCUCCAAAAAAGGUUACUAGCUCCCAAACCCUAGACAGGAGUUCGUAACACCUCUGUCAAAACCGAUUGGAGCAUGACAUCACAGUACCGCGGCUCUGACGUGAUGACAGAGCUGCAGGUGCAGCUGGCGCUCUCUCUGGCAGCGGCAGGUCACAGCGCCACUUCCGGUGGCAUCGGCAGCUGCCACAAUGUUCCCACAA